GCCUGCCUAGCUCAGACGGUAGAGCAUGUGACUUUUAAUCACCAGGUCGUGGGUUCGACCCCCACGGUGGGCA